rnacentral:rRNA from 1 species
AGAGUUUGAUCCUGGCUCAGAACGAACGCUGGCGGCGUGCUUAACACAUGCAAGUCUUACGAGAAAGCUCCCUUCGGGGAGUUAGUAAAGUGGCGCACGGGUGAGUAACGCGUGGGUAACCUACCCUAGAGACCGGGAUAACUCGCCGAAAGGCGUGCUAAUACCGGAUACGCUUCCCAUUUCUUAGGGCUUGGGAAGGAAAGGUGGCCUCUCGAAGAAGCUGCCGCUCAAGGAUGGGCCCGCGUCCCAUUAGCUUGUUGGUAGGGUAAUGGCCUACCAAGGCAACGAUGGGUAGCUGGUCUGAGAGGAUGAUCAGCCACACUGGAACUGAGACACGGUCCAGACUCCUACGGGAGGCAGCAGUGGGGAAUAUUGCGCAAUGGGCGAAAGCCUGACGCAGCAACGCCGCGUGAGUGAAGAAGGCCUUCGGGUUGUAAAGCUCUGUCAGGUGGGAAGAAAGGUCAAAGAUAAAUAGUCUUUGGCUCUGACGGUACCAUCAGAGGAAGCACCGGCUAACUCCGUGCCAGCAGCCGCGGUAAUACGGAGGGUGCAAGCGUUGUUCGGAAUUACUGGGCGUAAAGCGGGUGUAGGCGGUGGAUCAAGUCAGAUGUGAAAGCCCUCGGCUCAACCGAGGAAGUGCAUCUGAAACUGUUUCGCUAGAGUACGGGAGAGGAGAGUGGAAUUCCCAGUGUAGAGGUGAAAUUCGUAGAUAUUGGGAGGAACACCGGUGGCGAAGGCGGCUCUCUGGAACGAUACUGACGCUGAGACCCGAAAGCGUGGGGAGCAAACAGGAUUAGAUACCCUGGUAGUCCACGCCGUAAACGAUGGGCAUUAGGUGAAGGGAGUAUUGACCCUCCCUGUGCCGACGCUAACGCAUUAAAUGCCCCCGCCUGGGGAGUACGGUCGCAAGAUUAAAAACUCAAAGGAAUUGACGGGGGCCCGCACAAGCGGUGGAGCAUGUGGUUCAAUUCGACGCAACGCGAAGAACCUUACCUGGGCUUGACAUCCCGGGAAUCCUUUGGAAACUUAGGAGUGCCCUUCGGGGAACCCGGUGACAGGUGCUGCAUGGCUGUCGUCAGCUCGUGUCGUGAGAUGUUGGGUUAAGUCCCGCAACGAGCGCAACCCUCAUCCUUAGUUGCCAUCAUUGAGUUGGGCACUCUAAGGAAACUGCCGGUGUUAAACCGGAGGAAGGUGGGGAUGACGUCAAGUCCUCAUGGCCCUUAUGCCCAGGGCUACACACGUGCUACAAUGGCCGGUACAAUGGGUCGCAAUCCCGCGAGGGGGAGCUAAUCCCAAAAAGCCGGUCCUAGUUCGGAUUGGAGUCUGCAACCCGACUCCAUGAAGCUGGAAUCGCUAGUAAUCGCGCAUCAGCAUGGCGCGGUGAAUACGUUCCCGGGCCUUGUACACACCGCCCGUCACACCAUGAGAGCUGGUUGUACCAGAAGUCGGUGGGCCAACCCUGUUUCGGCAGGGAAGCAGCCGCCUAAGGUAUGAUUAGUAAUUGGGGUGAAGUCGUAACAAGGUA